rnacentral:tRNA from 1 species
CCUCUCAUGGCGUAAGUGGUAACGCGCCCCAACUAGAGAUCGGGGAGUCGUGAGUUCGAUUCUCACUGAAAAGA